rnacentral:rRNA from 1 species
AUUGAACGCUGGCGGCAUGCCUUACACAUGCAAGUCGAACGGCAGCACGGGGCAACCUGGUGGCGAGUGGCGAACGGGUGAGUAAUGCAUCGGAACGUACCUUUCAGUGGGGGAUAAAGUAGCGAAAGUUACGCUAAUACCGCAUAGUCUGUGAGCAGGAAAGCAGGGGAUCGCAAGACCUUGCGCUGAUUGAGCGGCCGAUGUCAGAUUAGCUAGUUGGUGAGGUAAAGGCUCACCAAGGCGACGAUCUGUAGCGGGUCUGAGAGGAUGAUCCGCCACACUGGAACUGAGACACGGUCCAGACUCCUACGGGAGGCAGCAGUGGGGAAUUUUGGACAAUGGGGGCAACCCUGAUCCAGCCAUGCCGCGUGAGUGAAGAAGGCCUUCGGGUUGUAAAGCUCCUUCGGCCGGGAAGAAAUCGCACGGGCUAAUACCCUGCGUGGAUGACGGUACCGGAAUAAGAAGCACCGGCUAACUACGUGCCAGCCGCCGCGGUAA